UGCCCGUGACGUCGCGAGAAGUCCACUGAACCUUAUCAUUUAGAGGAAGGAGAAGUCGUAACAAGGUUUCCGUAGGUGAACCUGCGGAAGGAUCAUUGUCGAGACCUGCCCAGCAGAAAGACCCGCGAAC
rnacentral:rRNA from 1 species